UACGUAGGGGGCUAGCGUUGUCCGGAUUUAUUGGGCGUAAAGAGCGUGUAGGCGGCCAGAUAGGUCUGCUGUGAAAACUCGAGGCUCAACCUCGAGACGCCGAUGGAAACCAUCAGACUAGAGUCCGGAAGAGGAGAGUGGAAUUCCUGGUGUAGCGGUGAAAUGCGCAGAUAUCAGGAAGAACACCCGUGGCUAAGGCGGCUCUCUAGUACGGUACUGACGCUGAGACGCGAAAGCGUGGGGAGCGAACAGG
rnacentral:rRNA from 1 species